rnacentral:rRNA from 1 species
UGAUGCGGUCAUACCAGCAGUAAAGCACCGGAUCCCAUCAGAACUUUGAAGUUAAGCGUGCUUGGACGAGAGUAGUACUAUGAUGGGUGACCUUCUGGGAAGUCCGCGUGGUGCAUUCC